CACCAUGGGAAAGGCCUUGGCAGUUGGGAUUCAGAUAUUGACAGUUGUAACUGGUGGCCUAGGCUUGGGGUCCUACACGAUGAGCCAAGUUCCUGAGAAAAGAGGCAAGCAAAGAUCUUCUAUAGGUUUCCAUAAUUGUCACCAGAGGCCCUGACUUCCCCCUGUUCUGUUCCUGCGUGCCCCCAAGAUGGCUGCCCGAGAGGUCCUCACUGAGCCCAUGCAGCCAGCAGCUGCCCACUGAAACCUGAAGCCAAAAGGUAGGAAGAGGGAGAAAAUGCAAUGUUUUCCAGUGAAGAGAAUGAGACAGCAGAGAGAGAGAGAGCGCUUCCCACUUGGCAUCAUUUUGUGAAAUUUUUUGAGUUUUGGAUCAUAUUAAUUCAGCCAGCCUUCUAGAGAAUGCUCAUCAACACUGUGUCCUGCUGACUGCCGUAGCCAGAGUUUAAGGUGAAAGUCCUUCUGGAUCCCUUGGAAGAAGAGGAGGCCAGCUGCAUUCCUCUGUGAGACUCAGGCUAUGCUGAGUGAGAAGUCAAGCUUUGAUGAUUGUCCCUCCUCUGUGGACUCACAGGCACGUGAGUCAGCUACACACUUCUGAGGACGCGUGUCUGAGAGAAACCGUCACAUACUCAUCACUUGAAGUGACAAGGCUGGCCCAGCCUGGGAUUUUGCUUUUGCUGGCUGGCUGUUUCUACAGCAGGAACACCUGUAAAAAUGUCUUAGCUGCAGAGCUGCUAGAGACCAGUACCAUUUCGAUCUCUCCUGGGUAUCAGGUGUGGAUAUGGGCACCGUGAGGAAAAGGUUGAGAUUUCUGCCUUCCCUCUUCUGUUUAUCCUCAGUGUCUCUCCCAAAUGACAGCAGCAGUUUCUGAGCACCAGCGUAAGCUCAAGGGCCAAGCAUCCCAUUUUACAGAUGGGCCAACUGAAGUACCAAUGUGAUAUUCCUCGUGUACUGGGGAUCAUGGAGCACAAGGCUUCAAUGGUUAUGACCUGAGUGUUUUAUAUAACACGUGGGUUAUUAUUCCCCAAGGGAUAGCCUGUACUUUAUAUAACAUUUGGAUUGUUAUCCCCCAAGGGAUAGCCUGUGCUUUAUAUAACAUUUGGAUUGUUAUCCCCCAAGGGAUAGCCUGUGCUUUAUAUAACAUUUGGAUUGUUAUCCCCCAAGGGAUAGCCUGUGCUUUAUAUAACAUUUGGAUUGUUAUCCCCCAAGGGAUAGCCUCUGCCUUGGUGUAGUCCCUUGCUGUGUGCGGUGACCUACACUCCUCCCCAACCCACCCCCCAUGGCUCUGUACAUUCCCAGGAACCACAUGGCUGUGUCAGUUUCUGUCCACCUUGAACCCUCUUGGGCAUGGACUUCACAGUCCAGAUGCCAGGUGCCAGUGUUCCCUGUAGAACGGGGUUGGCACUUUGCUAUCCUUGUCACUUCGGUUUCUCACUUGGCAGCAUGCCGCCUUCUGACUUGUCCCCAGGCCCCAGAUCCCCUUUGAUUUUCAGACAUUUCACAAAUGC